UACGGGGGGAGCAAGCGUUGUUCGGAUUUACUGGGCGUAAAGGGCGCGUAGGCGGUAGCACAAGUCAGUUGUGAAAUCUCCGGGCUUAACUCGGAAAGGUCAACUGAUACUGUGCAGCUAGAGUGCAGAAGGGGCAACUGGAAUUCUCGGUGUAGCGGUGAAAUGCGUAGAUAUCAGGAGGAAUACCGGUGGCGAAAGCGACUCUCUGGACGGCAACUGACGCUGAGGCACGAAAGCUGGGGGAGCGAACAGG
rnacentral:rRNA from 1 species